GUAACCUUCCGCAUGCCUAUACAUGCAAGUCGAACGAACCAUCCCUGAUGAUUGAAGCUUGCUUCAUGAUUCAGACCUUGGUGAGUGGCGGACGGGUAGUAACACGUGGGUAACCUGCCCAGAAGUGGGGGAUAACAUUUGGAAACAAGUGCUAAUACCGCAUAACAACUUAGAUCACAUGAUCUUUGUUUAAAAGAUGGUUUUGCUAUCUCUUCUGGAUGGACCCGCGGCGUAUUAGCUAGUUGGUGAGGUAAUAGCUCACCAAGGCGAUGAUACGUAGCCGACCUGAGAGGGUAAUCGGCCACAUUGGGACUGAGACACGGCCCAAACUCCUACGGGAGGCAGCAGUAGGGAAUCUUCCACAAUGGACGAAAGUCUGAUGGAGCAAUGCCGCGUGAGUGAAGAAGGUUUUCGGAUCGUAAAACUCUGUUGUUGAAGAAGAACAUAUGUGAGAGUAACUGUUCACGUACUGACGGUAUUCAACCAGAAAGCCACGGCUAACUACGUGCCAGCAGCCGCGGUAAUACGUAGGUGGCAAGCGUUGUCCGGAUUUAUUGGGCGUAAAGAGAAUGUAGGCGGUUUAUUAAGUUUGAAGUGAAAGCCCUCGGCUCAACCGAGGAAGUGCUUCGAAAACUGGUAAACUUGAGUGCAGAAGAGGAAAGUGGAACUCCAUGUGUAGCGGUGGAAUGCGUAGAUAUAUGGAAGAACACCAGUGGCGAAGGCGGCUUUCUGGUCUGUAACUGACGCUGAGAUUCGAAAGCAUGGGUAGCAAACAGGAUUAGAUACCCUGGUAGUCCAUGCCGUAAACGAUGAGUGCUAAGUGUUGGAGGGUUUCCGCCCUUCAGUGCUGCAGCUAACGCAUUAAGCACUCAGCCAGAGGAGUACGAUUGCAAGAUUGAAACUCUAUAAUUAUAAUCAACGUUAAUAACAAUAACAUGUAUUGACAUACCAUGAUAAGUUUAGAGAUAAGUCUUUCCCUUCGGGGACAUGUAUACAGGUGGUGCAUGGUUGUCGUCAGCUCGUGUCGUGAGAUGUUGGGUUAAGUCCCGCAACGAGCGCAACCCUUAUUAUCAGUUGCCAGCAUUCAGUUGGGCACUCUGGUGAGACUGCCGGUGAUAAACCGGAGGAAGGUGGGGACGACGUCAAAUCAUCAUGCCCCUUAUGACCUGGGCUACACACGUGCUACAAUGGUCGGUACAACGUGCUGCGAACUCGCGAGGGCAAGCAAAUCACUUAAAACCGAUCUCAGUUCGGAUUGUAGGCUGCAACUCGCCUACAUGAAGCUGGAAUCGCUAGUAAUCGCGGAUCAGCAUGCCGCGGUGAAUACGUUCCCGGGCCUUGUACACACCGCCCGUCACACCAUGAGAGUUUGUAACACCCAAAGUCGGUGGGGUAACCCUUCGGGGAACUAGCCGCCUAAGGUGGGACAAAGAUUAGGGGAAGUCGUAACAAGGAGCCCUAAA
rnacentral:rRNA from 1 species